rnacentral:rRNA from 1 species
AUUGAACGCUGGCGGCAUGCCUUACACAUGCAAGUCGAACGCCAAAGCGAGGGCAACUCUCGCCGGUAGCGUGGCGCACGGGUGAGUAACACAUCGGAACGUAUCCACUAGUGGGGGACAACCAGUCGAAAGAUUGGCUAAUACCGCAUACGCUGGAGACAGGAAAGCGGGGGACUCCGAGGGGCAACUCUAGGGGCCUCGCGCUAGCGGCGCGGCCGAUGUCCGAUUAGCUAGUUGGCGGGGUAAGAGCCCACCAAGGCGACGAUCGGUAGCGGGUCUGAGAGGAUGAUCCGCCACACUGGGACUGAGACACGGCCCAGACUCCUACGGGAGGCAGCAGUGGGGAAUUUUGGACAAUGGGGCAACCCUGAUCCAGCCAUGCCGCGUGA